rnacentral:rRNA from 1 species
CCUACGGGGUGCAGCAGUCGAGAAUCAUUCACAAUGGGGGAAACCCUGAUGGUGCGACGCCGCGUGGGGGAAUGAAGGUCUUCGGAUUGUAAACCCCUGUCAUGUGGGAGCAAAUUAAAAAGAUAGUACCACAAGAGGAAGAGACGGCUAACUCUGUGCCAGCAGCCGCGGUAAUACAGAGGUCUCAAGCGUUGUUCGGAAUCACUGGGCGUAACGCGUGCGUAGGCUGUUUCGUAAGUCGUGUGUGAAAGGCGCGGGCUCAACCCGCGGACGGCACAUGAUACUGCGAGACUAGAGUAAUGGAGGGGGAACCGGAAUUCUCGGUGUAGCAGUGAAAUGCGUAGAUAUCGAGAGGAACACUCGUGGCGAAGGCGGGUUCCUGGACAUUAACUGACGCUGAGGCACGAAGGCCAGGGGAGCGAAAGGGAUUAGAUACCCGGGUAGUC